GACGAACGCUGGCGGCGUGCUUAACACAUGCAAGUCGAGCGAGGCCCACCUUCGGGAGGUGUCCUAGCGGCGAACGGGUGAGUAACAUGUGGGCAACCUGCCCUCAGCUCUGGGAUAACCCCAAGAAAUUGGGGCUAAUACCGGAUACGACCGCUGACCGCAUGGUCUGGUGGUGGAAAGAUUUAUCGGCUGAGGAUGGGCCCGCGGCCUAUCAGCUUGUUGGUGGGGUAGUGGCCUACCAAGGCGACGACGGGUAGCCGGCCUGAGAGGGUGACCGGCCACACUGGGACUGAGACACGGCCCAGACUCCUACGGGAGGCAGCAGUGGGGAAUAUUGCGCAAUGGGCGGAAGCCUGACGCAGCGACGCCGCGUGGGGGAUGACGGCCUUCGGGUUGUAAACCUCUUUCAGCAGGGACGAAGCGAAAGUGACGGUACCUGCAGAAGAAGCACCGGCCAACUACGUGCCAGCAGCCGCCGUAAUAC
rnacentral:rRNA from 1 species